ACCCCACUAUGCCUGAAAAUUAACUAUGACAGACACCACCAACUGUUCGCCAGAACAUUACGGGCGAAAGCCUAAAACUCAAAAGACUUGACGGUAUUCCACCUGCCUAGAGGAGCCUGUUCCAUAAUCGAUAACCCACGUUAAACCCGACCACUUAUUGAAACAUCAGCCUAUAUACCGCCGUCGUCAGCUUAUCUUUUGAAAGUAAAAACAUAAGCCCAAUAGUAAUAUACUAAAAAGUCAGGUCAAGGUGUAGCUUAUAAAGUGGAGGCAAUGGGCUACAUUAUCUAUAAAAGAUUCACGAAUUUUAUUUUUAAAUAAAAUAAAUAAAGGUGGAUUUAGUAGUAAGCUAGACAAGAAAAUCUAACUAAACCUCAGCCCUGGAACAUGUACACACCGCCCG
rnacentral:rRNA from 1 species